rnacentral:rRNA from 1 species
AUUGAACGCUGGCGGCAUGCUUUACACAUGCAAGUCGGACGGCAGCACAGAGAAGCUUGCUUCUUGGGUGGCGAGUGGCGCACGGGUGAGUAAUAUAUCGGAACGUACCGAGUAAUGGGGGAUAACUAAUCGAAAGAUUAGCUAAUACCGCAUAUUCUCUGAGGAGGAAAGCAGGGGACCUUCGGGCCUUGCGUUAUUCGAGCGGCCGAUAUCUGAUUAGCUAGUUGGUGGGGUAAAGGCCUACCAAGGCGACGAUCAGUAGCGGGUCUGAGAGGAUGAUCGGCCACACUGGGACUGAGACACGGCCCAGACUCCUACGGGAGGCAGCAGUGGGGAAUUUUGGACAAUGGGCGCAAGCCUGAUCCAGCCAUGCCGCGUGUCUGAAGAAGGCCUUCGGGUUGUAAAGGACUUUUGUCAGGGAAGAAAAGGCUGUUGCUAAUACCGACAGCUGAUGACGGUACCUGAAGAAUAAGCACCGGCUAACUACGUG